rnacentral:sRNA from 1 species
GGGACCGGGUUGUCAGACUGAAGUCCUCUGUUUAUUCACCAAAAAGGUACAUCAACAAAGCAAGUUUUCCCCCAUGCUGUCCUCCUAAUAUACUGAUUCCUGGCCCUGGGGAAAGGGUGGAUUUCAGUCUGAAUGGCCCAUUCAAGUCCUUGACUUCU